rnacentral:hammerhead_ribozyme from 1 species
ACACUACUGAGGAGUCCCACAAUAGGACGAAACGGUCGUUCAGUGC